rnacentral:rRNA from 1 species
AGAGUUUGAUCCUGGCUCAGAACGAACGCUGGCGGCGUGGAUAAGACAUGCAAGUCGAACGGGAUGACGGAUGUAGCAAUACAAACGUUGUUCAGUGGCGCAAGGGUGAGUAACACGUGGGCAACCUGCCCGAAAGAACGGGAUAGCCCGCCGAAAGGCGGAUUAAUACCGUAUGUGACGAAGAGAGGAAACUCUCUGAUGUUAAAGUCGGAGCAAUCUGACGCUUUUGGAUGGGCCCGCGGCCUAUCAGCUAGUUGGUGAGGUAACGGCUCACCAAGGCAAUGACGGGUAGCUGGUCUGAGAGGACGACCAGCCACACUGGAACUGAGACACGGUCCAGACACCUACGGGUGGCAGCAGUCGAGAAUUUUUCUCAAUGGGGGAAACCCUGAAGGAGCGACGCCGCGUGGAGGAUGAAGGUCUUCGGAUUGUAAACUCCUGUCAUGAGGGAGUAAGGCACAGCGUUAACUGCGUAUGUGUUUGAUAGUACCUCAAGAGGAAGAGACGGCUAACUCUGUGCCAGCAGCCGCGGUAAUACAGAGGUCUCAAGCGUUGUUCGGAUUCAUUGGGCGUAAAGGGUGCGUAGGUGGCAAGGCAAGUCAGAUGUGAAAUCCCCGGGCUCAACCUGGGAACUGCAUUUGAUACUGCCGUGCUCGAGUGCUGGAGGGGAGACUGGAAUUCACGGUGUAGCAGUGAAAUGCGUAGAUAUCGUGAGGAAGACCGGUGGCGAAGGCGAGUCUCUGGACAGCAAC